rnacentral:rRNA from 1 species
UAAGAGCGUAUGUAAAAGUUGUUGCAGUUAAAAAGCUCGUAGUUGAACCUUGGGUUUGGUUGGCCGGUCCGCUUUUUUGCGAGUACUGGAUUCAACCGAGCCUUUCCUUCUGGCUAACCAGUCGUUUCGGCGGCUGGCGAACCAGGAUUUUUACUUUGAGAAAAUUAGAGUGUUCAAAGCAGGCAUUAGCUUGAAUAUAUUAGCAUGGAAUAAUAGAAUAGGACGUUAUGGUUCUAUUUUGUUGGUUUCUAGGACCAUCGUAAUGAUUAAUAGGGACGGUCGGGGGCAUCAGUAUUCAGUUGUCAGAGGUGAAAUUCUUGGAUUUACUGAAGACUAACUACUGCGAAAGCAUUUGCCAAGGACGUUUUCAUUAA